rnacentral:rRNA from 1 species
AUGGAGGGUUUGAUCCUGGCUCAGGGCUAACGCUGGCGGCGUGUCUUAGCCAUGCAAGUCGAGCGGGCCUGUGGGGUUUACCUGCAGGUCAGCGGCGGACGGCGGAGUAACACGUAGCUAACCUACCCCCUGGACGGGGAUAACCACCCGAAAGGGUGGCUAAUACCCGAUGGAGUCCCUAUCUGAGAUGGUAGGGAUGAAAGGUGGGCCUCUGCGUGAGCAAGCUCAUGCCAGGGGAGGGGGCUGCGGCCUAUCAGGUAGUUGGUGGGGUAAUGGCCCACCAAGCCUAUGACGGGUAGCCGGCCUGAGAGGGUGACCGGCCCGAGGGGCACUGAGACACGGGCCCCACUCCUACGGGAGGCAGCAGGCUAGAAAAUUGGGCAAUGGGGGAAACCCUGACCCAGUGACGCCGCGUGCAGGAAGAAGCCCUUCGGGGUGUAAACUGCUGUCGUGCGGGACGAAGGGCCCAUAGGUGAAGAAUCUAUGGGCUUGACGGUACCGCAGGAGGAAGCCCAGGCUAACCUCGUGCCAGCAGCCGCGGUAAUACGGGGUGGGCGAGCGUUGCCCGGAAUUACUGGGUUUAAAGGGGGUGUAGGCGGUCCGGAGAGUCAGGUGUGUAAUCCAACCGCUCAACGGUUGGGCUGCACCUGAUACUUCCGGGCUAGAGGGCGGUAGAGGAGAGCGGAACUCCCGGUGUAGCGGUGAAAUGCGUAGAUAUCGGGAGGAACGCCGGUGGCGAAGGCGGCUCUCUGGGCCGUUCCUGACGCUGAGGCCCGAAAGCUGGGGGAGCGAAAGGGAUUAGAUACCCCUGUAGUCCCAGCCGUAAACGAUGGGCACUAGGUGUUCCCCCGGAAGGGGGAGUGCCGACGGGAAACCAUUAAGUGCCCCACCUGGGGAGUACGCCCGCAAGGGUGAAACUCAAAGGAAUUGACGGGGGCCCGCACAAGCGGUGGAGCGCGUGGUUUAAUUCGACGCUAAGCGAAGAACCUUACCUGGGCUUGACAUGCUGGUGGUACCCUGGUGGAAACACUGGGGGACUCCCCGUUGAGGGGAGAGCCAGCACAGGUGCUGCACGGCUGUCGUCAGCUCGUGCCGUGAGGUGUUGGGUUAAGUCCCGCAACGAGCGCAACCCCUGCCCUUAGUUGCCACAGCACCCACGAGGUGGCUGGGCACUCUAAGGGGACUGCCGCCGAUGAGGCGGAGGAAGGUGGGGAUGACGUCAAGUCCGUGUGGCCUUUAUGUCCAGGGCUACACACGCGCUACAAUGGGUGGUACAAUGGGCUUUGCGACCCCGCGAGGGGAAGCGAAUCCCUUAAAACCACCCCCAGUUCGGAUUGGGGUCUGCAACCCGACCCCAUGAAGACGGAAUCGCUAGUAAUCGCCUAUCAGCAUGGGGCGGUGAAUACGUUCCCGGGCCUUGUACACACCGCCCGUCACGCCAUGGGAGCCGGGGGCACCUGAAGUCGCUGGCCCAACCCCGCAAGGGGAGGGAGGCGCCUAGGGUGAAACCGGUGACUGGGGCGAAGUCGUAACAAGGUAGCCGUACGGGAACGUGCGGCUGGAUCACCUCCUUUAAA